CCAGACCCCCGCACGGCGCACGCGGCUGCCUCCCUGCGCGCACGGAGAGCCGCCUCUAACACCCGCCCGUGCUGCCGGGGAGGAAAGCGGAGCCGGCAGGAGACGGGGAGGCCGGCUGGGAACGUAGCGGGGGCUGCGGAGAUGAGCGGGGCUGGAGGACGGGCUAGCCGGCACGAGCCCCCUCGUUAGAGAAGCACGGCGGUGGCAGGAGGAGAGGAUGGAGCUCAGCCCUGCGGCACCCGGCUUGCAGCCACAGGUGCUGCCCCGUGUCUGCUACCUGCCGAGGGGGGCGGCGAGGCCGGUGACCCGAGCGAACGGCUUGAGCUGGGGACAGCACGGGGUGGGAGCAGAGAGGGAGAGGAAGGGCAGGGAGAACUCGCGGCAAGGAGGACGGGUCUGGCUGCACCCGGCAAGCGUGAUUCCCUGCAGCCCCGAGCAUGGCGCCGCCAGGGCAAAGGCAGGUGCCACGACCGUCUCCCUGGUGCGAGGCGCUCAUGCUGGGGGCGCCAGGCUGCAGGAUGAGAGGGAUGCAAUGCAUGGCGUCAGGGCAAAACUCACCAGUAGCUGCCGAUGCUUUGCAUGGCAGGGAUGGGUGCUGCAAAUCCAUGCAGGCCAGAGAAUGACCCCCAGCCCCGUGCCUGGCCUGAGACAGCUGCCCGGGCCAGGGAGAGGCUGGACGGCUUUGUGGAGGCCGUGGGGAGGCAGCAGCGGGCAGGCAGCUUGGCUGCUGAUCUGCUGUAUGAGGCAAUGGAGGAGUCUGCAUGUCCCAGCCCAUCUAAACAGGGCAGGGCAGAAGCAGCGGGUGCAAGGGAGGGCACCAAACCAGCCGUCCGCAGGGCUCCCGGCCCCAGCCUGGCUUGGCGGCUUGCUGGGACCUCUACGGUGCAGCGCAUCGUGGAGGAGAGGCUGGGAGCUGAUCUGCGGGAGACGCGGUUCAGCCCAGAGCUUGGGCACAGCUUUCCUUUCCGUUCCUUGCAAGAAAGCCAGGGAAGGUGUGAAGGAGCACUGGAGCCCGUGGUGCUCCGGAGAAAGCACCCUGCAGUGCAGGGGGGACACGGGACAGGCUUUCCCUUCCAGUCCUGAGCCUGGGAGGUUUGGAUCUGGCUGCCCUGGGCCACGGAAAGGCGAAGAGACGGUGGAGAGCAAGGCCUGUGUGUAGGGCCGGCGGGAGGGUUACAGCAUGUGCGUGCCCGUCUCCAGCCCCAGCCAGGAAUGGCUGCAGAGGGGAAGCCUUUGCUGACCGCCCAGGGCCUCUCAGACAAUGGAGCCUGGGUCGCGCCGUGGAGAUGACCAACCUGACAGCUCCGAGGGAGGUAGACCCGUCAGGCUGUCUCCUCCAGCGCAAGGCAGCCAAGCAGGUCGGGCGCCCCAGGCUCGCCUGCGCCCUUCGGAGGUCUCCCGAGAUCCAUUCGACGAGGCGCAGCAAGGAGCAAGACCCCGGCAUCAGGUCUCAGAGCAACCUCACUUCAUCUCACCGAGUCUCGGCGCUGCCUGGAGAGCGGCGGGGCCGGGCGGAGACUGACGCCGGACGGCAGUGGUGCUGGCCGUGCCUACGCAACGCAGCGUACCGGAGACGAGCGCACGGGCCCGUCCCCGUCCCCAGCCUGGGCUCCUGCAGCUCACCCGUACCUACGCGCCAAAUGCUGCGCAGAGCAGAUGCCCUUUGGGCAUCCUCUGCCCAACCGGCUCUGCCCGUCUCUAGCGCCAGCACCCACAGCCCUGGUACAGCGCUUUCAGCCGUCAGCCUCCUGCCCCGCCGCUGCCCUGGGUUAGGCCCUUUCCUUCCCCGUGCAGCCAGUCUCCUCCUCUUCAGUCCUCUUCACUAUCGAGGCAGAGCAGACACCAACACGUGUCAGCGGAGACAGGGAAAUUUGGUUUUACCACGAGCUGGGAGGUAACGAGUUCUUCUGCUGCUAGAAAACACUUGUCUGCACAGCGAGUGGCCUGGGUCUCCUGAGAUAGGGAGCAAAGAAAUGCAAUCCAUCUCCCCUGCAGCUGCGAGCGCCGCGUCGCCGAGUCUGCCUGCACCCGCUGCUGGCGCUCGGGAAGCCACGCCGGCCACGUCUGGGAGACAGGGAGCCUCCUGCCCUUGGCAAACCCCAGGACCCUGAGUCGCCGCUGCCUCGGCACGGGCCAGCGCCCACGGACAUCAGGGAUUCAGGGACUGCUGGGAUUUGGGCAUCAAAAGUCUUUCUGCAAUCCGGCUCCCUCCACAUGCAGCUUCCAGCAGUGUCAAGGCAUGCCCCUGCCCCAUUCCCCCGGGGCCCGGGGUCUGCUGACAGCAAGGCCCCGGAGGAGGGCAGCUGGCAGGCAUCGCUGUCCAAACGGCCCAGCCCCGUCUGCCACAUGGGACUGUCAGGAUGCUGCUUCCCCCACGGCCAUCUCCACGGCACGGGCCUGUGUCUCGCAAGCGGAGGCUGCCCAAAAAGCCGGCACAGAGGGACUUCCUGGCACUUCCUCCACCCUGGACGGCGCUUGCUUGCACACGCGUGUGUCAAAUCUGGCAGCUCUCCCUGAGGCCAGAUGUGGGAAUACCCACCCCAACUUAGGGUGUUGCACACCCAUGGGGACUUGGCACAGAUGUGCAGCCUGGCAGCAAGGUGGUGAGCACGGCCUGGCCAUCACGGGCUCCGCUGACACCCCCCAGCAACAGCCCAGCAUCAUCCCCAUCCUACUGACACCGGCAGGCCCCGAGGUGAAGCGCCUGCCUCAGUUUCCCUGCAUCACACCAUGCAGCUCGUGCAGGACAUGGUCCCCGUCGGCGGGCUGCAGAGAUGCUCUGUGAGGAUGCAUGCUCAGACGCCUCACCGAGGGCCCCAUCUGCUCUAGCGGCGUCCGAAAGUGCUAGCAACAGGCAAGGAUGUGCCCUUACACUGUGCUAGGAUGGAGCAAUGGCGGUGCUGCCCCACAUACGUCGCCUCUCAGCUCAGCUGCCUCCGAGUUUCCCGGGUCGCUGUGCUGGGAAAGCCGAGGGGGAACGGGCCGGACAAGCCCAGCGUGCUCCAGCUGGGAGGGAUGGAGGGUCACAAGUCCUGGCCCCCGUUUGCUAGGCGCUGGGGAAACCUCAAAAAACAGCACGAAGGAGGAGGAACGAAGGCCCCUUCCCCAGGCCCCUUGUGCCAGGAGCAGGGAGCGGGGCUGGCUUGUCACCGCAGGAGGUUUUGGGUUUCCUGGAGCUCAGGCAGCAGGAGCCGGCUCUCCCCUCCCUUCACGGCCAGCGCUGCCUCGCUUGGGUGCGGACCCCACGGGGCAGGGACGAUUGCUCUCUGACAUGCUGCUGCCACACGACGGCAAUGGGAAAAAGGGCACUGCUGUGGGCCAGGCCGCCCCUGGGACCCGCUGAAAAAUCCCCAGCAAACCCCAACCCCUGCCGGGCUGGGAGAGACCGCGGGAGCUCUGCAGCGCGGUGCCAGGAGAACUGCCCUGGCCUCUCCCUACUAGCACCGAGUGCCGUGCCCAGCUACCAGCUUUCCUCGGCCCCAUGCGCUCCGCCAGCUCCGCCUGGAGCCCUCCACGCGGGGGGCAAAGAGGUCACCGGGCCUCGGGGCAGCGCGGGACAGCCAGCAGAGACCACCUGGGAACUGAAAGGCUUCUGGAGACCCUGCGGGAGCCAUGAAGGGAUUGAAGAAAGCCAAGCUGCUCUCAUGUUUCAGGGCCGGGCAGCGGGAGCAAAGGCUCACCUGUAACCUUAUCCCUGCCCCGGGAACUUCAAAAGGGCCACUCAGCUGGAGACUGGCCACGGCCACGGAGCAGAGCACCUGGGCCGCGGCCGGCGAACGGCUCAUCUAGGAGCCCCUGGCAUCGUGCGUUUUGGAGGCUGUCUCCCGGCUGCACGGGGCUCUCCUCUCUGGGGGCUCCCCGGUGCUUAUCCCUCGGCUGUUGGGGGUCCUUGCAGAGCGAAGGGGAGGCUGGCGGGCAGGGCUCCUCUAAACAGCCGCUCCUGAACAGCUCCAUCGUGGACGUGUUUAGCCCAGAGCAGGAGGGCCUCAAUCGCGGGCUGCUGAGCCCGGCGGUGCGUGGCUCUCCCGUCACACCGAUGCCCUGCAGGCAGAGAGCGCGGCACGGCCCCGAACAGCCCCACAGGCCCCUGUGUCGCCCACCCAGCCCAGGCUAUGCGGAGGAGGUGGGGGGCAUGGAUCCAGCCCCUGCAGCAGCCUCCUUCGCGCGGGGUGAGGUCCCGCGGGUAGAGCCCAGGCAGACACCGGGGGCACAGCUAGAGCCAGGGGCCGGCUCCCUGCACAGAUCACGCGUGUGCCGAGGCACGUGGUAGAAGAGGUGCGGACUGGCCGCCCGUGCCCCCUGCUCCGUCCCUGUGGAGGUGGCGAGGUGGCGCUGGGAGGGCCGGAGACAAGGGCCUCCGGGCUCCCCCACAGCUCGGAGCAGGGGAACGAACCCCGGACACGGGGCAAGUCCAGACAGGAGUCUGGUCUGCUCCAAGCAUCUGCAAAGUUCAGGGUCGGCCUCGAGCUCCUGCCCUCGCCCGAGGCAGGCGUCAGGACAUCCCCAGGGCAGAGGCCGUGCAGGGACAAGAUGAGCACAAGAGGCAGCAGUUUGAGCGGCUCCAUGGAGCAGGAAGGCCGCAGAGCCCCGGUCAGCGCAGCAGCCCUGACGUGCCCGCACUCCCGGCUGGCUCCUGCUCAUCCAGGAUGGACGAGAGCUCCAGGGCUGGGAUCGGCUGGAGACACGACCACUGUCCCGGUCAGCACCUGCUGCGACUGGGAUCAGACGAGACAAGACCAAGUCCCCAAGGGGUGCCAGGGUGCGGCAUAAAUGCGGCAAUGCCAGCAGCAUCCGUGCCAGCACUCGUGACGGGGCAGCGACUGCCAUCGGCAUCCUCUGCGCCGGGAAGCCGGCUCUGUUUGGGGAUGCUGGUGGCUGGACUAGCGAGGGGCUGGGGAGGUGCUGGGUGACCGGCUGCAGGAUGAGGGGCACUGGAGAUUGGGAGGGGGGCACUGGACAGCUCGUGCUCAAAGCCAGCCAGGUUUUCACAUGCCAGCUGGUACCCGGUGUCCCGAGCACAAGCAACCGGCUGCCCAGCAGAAGCUUCUGGCCUGACAGCACAGGGAGAAGGAGGUUUGAGAUGCCAGCACGGCACAGACCGGCUCCCUUGCCCCAGGCUCUGGUCUGGGAUGACCUCCAUGGCCCCUGGACAGAGCACGGGGCCUUCCACCGUCCCACCCUGCCCCCUCGCAGCCAGCACCACCGGGGCAAGAGCCGCGUGCCGGCUCCAGCCUCCUCCCUCCCCACCUUCCCCGAGCACCCAGCUCCUGCCUGCGACGGAGGGCGUGCAAUCGUUAGACGUACCGGGACGAGAUGGCAGCACCGAGUGAACAGGGCCUGGACCUGGGACCCGCAAUCUGAGCGGAGCUGGGGCUGGCGGGAGCCGGCUCAAGGACACCUCGGGCACCUGGGUUGCACGCAAAGCGAACAGACGGCACGUAACACGGUACCGAAGUGGUGGCAGCACAGGCCGACGGGCACGGGGUGGCGAGCACGGCCCCCCCAUCCCCGGUGCCUGGGUGCACGUCCCCUCCCGCCCCCCGACCUGCGCUAUCGAUGAGAUGGGCCGGCUCCGCCGCCCUGUAAUUUACUGUUCCUGCCGCGCUUAAUGGCAGCGGAAAGGCAAGGUGAUAGGGGAAAAAAUAUGAGGCGGGAUUUUCCGAAUCCCCAUUUCCUCUCCAGACAGCACGAGAACUCCUGGGGCCUGAACAUCUGGGAAAUUUAAUUUCACCGUUUCGGAGCUGAACUCCCCUUCCCCCUCCUGCUCCCCUUCCCCCUGCCACCCCCCCACCGUAACAAAGGAAGCGUCGCAAUAGAGGCAGCGUGCGCGGUAGCUGCGGGAGCCCCGCCGAACGCAGCCCGGCCCGGGGGCAAGGCCCCGAAUGCGCCGUGUCUGCAGGCAGCAGAGUAAAGACCGAGACAGGAAGACGGCGAUUCGGAGCUAGACGAUUACGGAUUCAGGAAGGACAAGGAGGAGGAGCGGGAGGAAGGACGGCAAAGCCACACACACCACACAAAGAGACACGGACAGGCCCGCGUCGCCGGGGAGCCCGGCAGGACCUGGGCCGGCCCCGGACACGCCGCCCAGGACAGACCGAGCCGCCUCCGGCCGGGGCCAUGGCUGCAGGUGGCAGGCGGAGGCAAGCAGGCCCCUGGGAGGGCAGGGCUUGGACGUGCUCGGCGCGGCAGCCCCGGGACAAACGGUGCUGCCUGGGGACUGCCCGCGGCAGCGGGCCCUGCCCGGAGGACCCGAGGGGCGGGGAAGCGUCUGCAGACUCUGGGGAGGAGGGAACCCCCCGUCCGUCCCCAUCUCCACGGACGCUGCCAGGGCUGGUGGAGCGGCGUUCAGAAACACCGCAGCCCCCCGGCCCCGGCAGGGCUGGAUCAAUACAUGCUGGUGUUUCAUGUCAUUGAUACGGUGAUAUAAAGCCGGAGCGAUUUGUAUAAUUAAAGGUAAUAUGGUGGAGACCCACGGCGCGAGCUCCCUUCCUUCCCAGCCCCCUGCCCGCUGUGCGCAAUAAACCUCUAGUUUCACCUUCA